UAAAUUCUUCUAUAUGUUUGUUAUAUUUCUGCUGUUGGGAAGAGAAUAGGAUGUUAUGCAGAACAAUAUGUUGGUAGGACAAGGCUAUGUUCUCUGAAUGGACAAAACGUUAGGAACACCAGCUCUUUCCAUGACAUAGACUGACUAGUGCAUCGACAACGAAGCCCCCACUGUGACCGUACGUACAUAUCCCAACCAGAAGCCAUGGAUUCCAGGCAACAUCCGGCACCGAGCUAAAGGCUAGAGCUGCCGCUUUCAAGGAGCGGGACACUAAUCAAUACGCAUAUAAUAUGCUCUCAGACGAACCAUCAAACAGGAAAAGCAUCAAUACAGGACUAAGAUUGAUUCCUACUUCACAGGUUCAUGUGACAAAUAAAAUUUGAUUGGAUUAGAUUUUAAA